rnacentral:rRNA from 1 species
AUACGUAGGGGGCGAGCGUUGUCCGGAAUUAUUGGGCGUAAAGGGUUCGUAGGCGGUUAUUUAAGUCAGGUGUGAAAGGCGCAGGCUCAACCUGUGUAAGCACUUGAAACUGGGUAACUUGAGUUAAGGAGAGGAAAGUGGAAUUCCUAGUGUAGCGGUGGAAUGCGUAGAUAUUAGGAGGAAUACCAGUGGCGAAGGCGACUUUCUGGACUUAUACUGACGCUGAGGAACGAAAGCGUGGGGAGCAAACAGGAUUAGAUACCCUGGCAGUCCACGCCGUAAACGAUGAGUGCUAGGUGUUGGGGGUCAAACCUCGGUGCCGCAGCUAACGCAUUAAGCACUCCGCCUGGGGAGUACGUACGCAAGUAUGAA